rnacentral:rRNA from 1 species
AAUCAACGCUGGCGGCGUGCCUAACACAUGCAAGUCGAACGCGAAAGUCCCGCAAGGGAUCAGUAGAGUGGCAAACGGGUGAGUAACGCGUGGGCGACCUACCUUCGAGUGUGGGAUAACCUUCCGAAAGGAGGGCUAAUACCGCAUAACUUUCCGUAUUUGGACACACGGGUAGCAAAGCCGGGGAUCGCAAGACCUGGCGCUUGGAGAGGGGCCCGCGUCCGAUUGGCUAGUUGGCGGGGGAAGGGCCAACCAAGGCGACGAUCCGUAGCUGGUCUGAGAGGAUGAUCAGCCACACUGGAACUGAGACACGGUCCAGACUCCUACGGGAGGCAGCAGUGGGGAAUAUUGGACAAUGGGCGCAAGCCUGAUCCAGCCAUACCGCGUGGGUGAAGAAGGCCUUCGGGUUGUAAAGCCCUUUGUUGGGAAAGAAAUCCAGCUGGCUAAUACCCGGUUGGGAUAACGGUACCCAAAGAAUAAGCACCGGCUAACUUCGUGCCAGCAGCCGCCGUAAGAC